AUGCAUCGUGUGGACAGUGCGGGUGUACUUGCUCGAAUGACAUGUCUGGGAUGUGUAGUGAGAAGGACGUACACAGUUCCUUGCCCAAAGUAUAUGGUGCACAUUGACAUCAGGUAAUGUCUGUGUGUAAUUGGAGAUGUUAUUUUUUGUUUUGGGAGUUGCAUUUUUAAUUGUCUGUGUUUUAACAGGUACAAUUUUAUUAUCUUUGGGGGAAUAGACGGCUAUUCAAGGAAGAUCAUGUACCUGAAGGUAGCUGACAACAACCGGGCAGACACCCACCUUGCCUCUUCAGUGAAGCUGUGAAUGAGCAUGGCUUUCCUCUGAGGGUGAGAGGAGAUCAUGGCAGAGAAAAUGCAGGUGUUGCAGAAUUAAUGUUCUCAGUUCGUGGAACUGACACCAACAGCUUCAUUGCAGGAAAAAGUGUACACAAUCAGCGGCCAGCCUGGAUGUCUUUAGAGAUGCAUGGGACAACCAUCCAAUCAGGACAGAGGAAAACAUGACACCAAAUCAGCUGUGGCAUCUGGGCCAGGCUCUGAAUCCUGUUUCUGAUCCAGGGGCAAAUGUAUGUUCUGUUAAAAUGACUGAUCACAUGUCAAGUUGAUCCUUAACUAAAAAUCAAAUGUUCAACACUUUGAUAAUCUACCUCUGCACUAUGCUUCUUGGAUUCAAGACGAAAUGGCUAUUGAAAUUACAGUUCUGUUUGUGUGCACCUCUACUGAAAUGGACACUGUCAACUAUAAUGUCAUGACAUUACAAAGUCAUGACACAUCUGCAAGUUCAAAAUGCAAGGCAUUAGACCUUCCAGAUGUGAUAUUCUCACUGCUGUUUUAACAUAAAAUUUGCCCAUUAAUUAAAAAAUAAUAAUAAUUUAUGAAAUAAUGGAGAUGCUAGGUUCUGCCUGACAUCAUUGAUGUUAAGUAAUUGUUAAAAGGUCAUGAUAAAGCUUUAUUAAAUGUGUUUUCUUGAGAUUCAUUAUGCACAAUGCUCAUACACACUUUCUUUUUCCAGAGUAUACCAAUACCAGAGACUGAAUGGGAGGAAAAUGGAUACAUGACUGAACCUCAUCCUGGGAUCAAUGUCCCUGUACUGGACAGUCCUCUUUCAGAUCAUGAAAUGUUGGAACUGCAGAACAGCAUUAAUCCGUUGCAACAUUUAGACUCUUUUGGAGUGGACAUAUAUCUUCACACUGUCCAGUAUGUUGAGAACUUACUUGAGGCUAGAUGAUUACAUGUGUGAAGAAGGAAGGAGAGAGAAGGUAGGGAGUUAGGAAGAAAGAAAACAAUUAAUGAGACAGGAAGGAAGAAAGUUAAAAAGUGAAGGAGUGGUCCAUUUUAAGGUUAAUAUACUGUAUAUUGUUAUUCAAGGGAUUUGCCGUCGUAAAUAUGAAAUGCUAAAGGAUAGACCCCCAAAUAGAUUUCUAAAUUCAUUUAUAGUUGUGUAUUUCCUUAAAGGCUGUGUCAGCCUGAUUUAUUUUAGACCAGGAAUGUAUUUGAAAAGGCUGCUGUCCACUUAAUCUAUGCUACAAUUCUUCAAAAUGUAGAUGUUCUAUCAUUGCUAGUGUUGGUUAAGUAACAUACAUCUUCCUGUGUAUCCAGCUCUAAUAAAAACAUAUUUAAAGGUGAAGCACCUACUUCUUAUCAGGAGAUCCAUUUCUUUUUACAUGUUAUUGUUUGAAUUUUGUCUCGUUUCAUAACUUUUGCUCAACAUUUAAGGGGAACUGUGUUACCCUGCGAUCAUCUUCAUUACACUUGAAAACUCGUACUAUACCUCCGUCUGUCUACU